UUGCAACCAAGCAUCCAAUUUGUUUUUUGGCGAGAUAUCAGUGGUCACGAUCAAUAAGAGACAAUCAAGCAUAUAUAAUUUUGGAAGGAUUUGGAAGUUAAGGAAUAUGGUAGCUUUUGAAGGUGUGCAUCAAUCAAUCUCAUCUCUUACAACACAAUUCCAGCAUUAUUGGCUACAAGGAGCUCAUUUCUAUGCCAACGCAGUUUCCUCGGACAACAUCCUACAGUGGAUGCCGACUCAACAAUGGUGACCUCAAACAGCAACGUGGAUUUUCUCGGUUGACACGGUUGUUUUAGGCAUUCAGAUGGCCCAAACAACUUGGAGACAGGUUAUGGCGCUUUGGGUAUUGUGUUACUACAACGACCAGAUAUUACUCCCUUAAACCAACCAACCUUAUUGACGAGCCGACAUCUCAGAAUUGUAUCCAAGAUGAUUCCCGUUGCUGCCAUGAAUCCAUAGUUUCUGACGGCGCGUCGUUUGGAGUUCAAACGGUCGAGUUAUACUCCAAAUACUCCUUUUGGUAAAAUGCUGAAACUGGCAGGGGCAGCAUCAACAUUUUACCACCCCGCUGGGAAAAUCUCAGAAUCAGCCCACACAUUUCAGACUACUGCAAAACAGACCCUGAAUAAUGAACUAAUUUCAGAUCAGUCACCUCGAACUUUAUGGAUAUUACAAAUUGGUCACUUAUCUCUUUGAAACUGCCAAGUGGUCAUCUUCUUCAACCUCUGACUCCGGGAAGCCAUGUCGCCGCCAGGGAUAAAAAUACCCAGAACCCGACGAGGACUCUGGCAUUUCAAAAUCCUGGAAUCGCUAUUUCCCACCGCCGAUUUAUCCAAUCUCCUUCGCCCGUCGCCUGGGAUGCUCCAAGACCCAGCCCCGGAUUGCCAUGCCUCUACACGCUCCGCCAUCGACCGAUGGCCGUCGCCGUGCCUUGAUUCCCUCACGAAGCAACCUCCAGUUUCCGCCGACGGUUGCCGUAACCAUCUCUUCCUUCGAUCCUCUAGCUUCGUCCUUGAAAUCCAAGCACGGAUCUCGCCUCCCUUUGCUCGAUCGGAUACACUCCAUAGUCGGGGCCGUCGCUAU
rnacentral:lncRNA from 1 species